rnacentral:rRNA from 1 species
ACUCCUACGGGAGGCAGCAGUGGGGAAUAUUGCACAAUGGGCGCAAGCCUGAUGCAGCCAUGCCGCGUGUGUGAAGAAGGCCUUCGGGUUGUAAAGCACUUUCAGUCGUGAGGAAGGUAGUGUAGUUAAUAGCUGCAUUAUUUGUACGUUAGCGACAGAAGAAGCACCGGCUAACUCCGUGCCAGCAGCCGCGGUAAUACGGAGGGUGCGAGCGUUAAUCGGAAUUACUGGGCGUAAAGCGCAUGCAGGUGGUUUGUUAAGUCAGAUGUGAAAGCCCGGGGCUCAACCUCGGAAUAGCAUUUGAAACUGGCAGACUAGAGUACUGGUAGAGGGGGUUAGAAUUUCAGGUGUAGCGGUGAAAUGCGUAGAGAUCUGAAGGAAUACCGGUGGCGAAGGCGGCCCCUGGACAGAUACUGACACUCAGAUGCGAAAGCGUGGGAGCGAAACAGGAUUAGAUACCCCUGGUAGACUGUCA